UCGCUGCUUUAACUUUAGCGA
rnacentral:snRNA from 1 species